AUAUUAUUUACUUUAAAUGUACCUGAAGUAAAAUAUUAAAUGUUUGAUGAGAAAAUAUAACUUUUGUAUUUGCUUGUACUUGUCGAUCUAAAGUUGGGCGCCGCCCGCCCACCACUCUGAAUAUAAACCGUUGGGCGGAAAGUGUUGAGUUCAGUCUGUGAGGUGACUGCGUUACAUCUACUUAGCAGAGUUCACUGAUCAGAACAAUGAAGUCUACAUUUCUCCUCCUGUUUGUUUCGGUUUCGUCCGCACUCGUGCUUUAUGACAGCGGAGAGGAAUCACUAUUGAAAACUGAGUUGAUGGAUACCGGAUUUCCGGCCAAUACUAACUACAUGAAAUCUGAUGAGCAGCCGUGGGCAGAUAAACGUCUCUUCUAUGGGCUAUUAAAAUUCCACAAGAAUAACACAACUGAGCAGGACUUAAAUACGAAGAACGCCCCAGAAACAAAGGCUGUCAAAAGUGGCGAGAUAAAAAGAUCGAAAAGUAAUAAGGUAACGAAUAACAGUUACUCCGCGAGGAAAUGGUACUUGAAGAAAGGCAAAGGAAUUCCUACACUGUGUUAUUUCAAAAUUUGCUCCUUCAAAACCAUACAGUGGUAGAAGAUAUUCGAGCCCGAACCAUGUACCGCUAAAACAAAUGGAAAUCUUGUAAAAUAACUACAAAGCUGCUGAAAUAAACUGGAUCUGAGAUUUUACGCCUUUUAAUGCUCAUUAAGUUUAUGGAUGAUGUUGUAAAAAAAUAAAAAGGUA